rnacentral:siRNA from 1 species
GGAAAAUCUAGUCGUUGAUGC